AGGCUAUCUUCAUAUUAAAGUAGGAACAUUUCUUCUUCACAAUUGUCUGAGCCCUUCUGAUGACCCGAUUGGACAUGACUUCAACAGGGUCACCAGUAGGGCUCAGCCAAUGAAGUUGGUAGUCCCACCCAGUUGACUACAUUCAAAUUGUGAAAGUGCUUGCAAAUGCAGCAUUUUGGCCAUUAGAGGCCAAUAUCUUUCUCUCUGUCUGGGCUACAAUUGUAGACAGUUGGGUAAUUAUGCUUUUCAUCUGUGAAAGGCUGUUGUGCUGCUAAUGAGGGAGUUCUAUUAACCUGAGCCGAGGUGCACCGGUCCAUGGCCCCUGACAUGAAUGGAUAAAAGCGGUUGUUUUGCCUAUUGAUGGCAGCUGUGGGCAUACAAGCACAACAGACACCUUCUAUAAAUGACCUCAACGCUGAAUGCCUUGGUAAUGUUAUUCGUUUGAGUUUCGCUCCUCUUUUUGAAGAGGUUGAUGCUGUCUUCAAUGACACACAAAUCAUAAACCUGACGCCUGGCCUUGCUACUCAGUGUGGAUUCAGCUUUAAAUUUGACCCCAUGGGGAAUGCCAUGUUUUUUGCUUCUCUUCAAAACUGCUUUUCCCAAAACAUGGAUGAUAAGAUGUUCAGCUUGGUCAUGCAGUUCAGGCUGCCAGGAAACCACAUGACUGAAGACCCUGUGUAUAGAGUGGGCAAAACCU